rnacentral:rRNA from 1 species
CAAAGGUAGCAUAAUCACUUGCCUAUUAAUUGUAGGCUAGAAUGAAGGGGUUAACGAAAUAAAAGCUGUCUCAAUUAGUUACCUAAAAAUUAUUCUCUAUUCGAAGAAAAAUAGAUACACUCGAAGGACAAGAAGACCCUAUAGAGCUUUAUUUAUAUUAUAGAGUCUACUAUAAAACAAUUCGGUUGGGGCGACCCAGGGCUAAACAAUCACCCACAACACAAAAGAUACUUUAAUCUAAUAAAUGACCCUUUUAAGAUCACAAGACCAAGCUACCUUAGGGAUAACAGGCUAAUCCCAUUCAAGAGUCCUUAUCAACAAUGGGGAUUGGCACCUCGAUGUUGGCUUAGGGUAUCUAUAUAGCGCAAAAGUU